UACAGAGGUCCCAAGCGUUGUUCGGAAUUACUGGGCGUAAAGCGCGCGCAGGCGGUCUUCCAAGUCAGUGGUGAAAGCCCGGAGCUCAACUCCGGAACUGCCAUUGAAACUGUUGGACUUGAGUACGAGAGAGGUGAGUGGAAUUCCCAGUGUAGAGGUGAAAUUCGUAGAUAUUGGGAAGAACACCGGUGGCGAAGGCGGCUCACUGGCUCGUAACUGACGCUCAGGCGCGACAGCGUGGGGAUCAAACAGG
rnacentral:rRNA from 1 species